AUGGGGGUUCGUGGCUGCAAAGGGUCAGUCUAUCGACAAUGGUCUCCAUGCAUCCGGCGGUAUCGUGGUUGUGUAGACCACCGUGUUGGCGCGAAGGACCUAGUUGUCAGAUUUUUGCUUGAAUCGCGUGUGUGCGUGGUGACUCGUCAAAGAUCUUUGCAACGAUGGUGUGUGGAUGUUGUGAGAUGGGUAGCUUGGCGGAUGAUGUGUUGGCCGGUUUCCGGUAUGUACGUGAGACGGUGGCAGCGGUGA